UACGUAGGGUGCGAGCGUUGUCCGGAAUUACUGGGCGUAAAGAGCUCGUAGGCGGUUUGUCGCGUUGUUCGUGAAAACUCACAGCUUAACUGUGGGCGUGCGGGCGAUACGGGCAGACUGGAGUACUGCAGGGGAGACUGGAAUUCCUGGUGUAGCGGUGAAAUGCGUAGAGAUGUGGAGGAACACCUGUGGCGAAGGCGCCUUGCUGGCCGAUUUCUGACGCUGAGGCGCGAAAGCGUGGGGAGCAAACAGG
rnacentral:rRNA from 1 species